rnacentral:rRNA from 1 species
GACGAACGCUGGCGGCGCGCCUAACACAUGCAAGUCGAACGGAGCUGCGAGAAGCUUGCUUUUCUUAGCUUAGUGGCGAACGGGUGAGUAACGCGUGAGUAACCUGCCCUGGAGUGGGGGACAACAGUUGGAAACGACUGCUAAUACCGCAUAAGCCCACGAUCCGGCAUCGGAUUGAGGGAAAAGGAUUUAUUCGCUUCAGGAUGGACUCGCGUCCAAUUAGCUAGUUGGUGAGGUAACGGCCCACCAAGGCGACGAUUGGUAGCCGGACUGAGAGGUUGAACGGCCACAUUGGGACUGAGACACGGCCCAGGCUCCUACGGGAGGCAGCAGUGGGGGAUAUUGCACAAUGGGGGAAACCCUGAUGCAGCGACGCCGCGUGGAGGAAGAAGGUUUUCGGAUUGUAAACUCCUGUCGUUAGGGACGAUAAUGACGGUACCUAACAAGAAAGCACCGGCUAACUACGUG